rnacentral:rRNA from 1 species
UACAGAGGUCCCAAGCGUUGUUCGGAUUUACUGGGCGUAAAGGGCGCGUAGGCGGUCGUGACAAGUCACUUGUGAAAUCUCCGGGCUUAACUCGGAACGGUCAAGUGAUACUGUCGGACUAGAGUACAGAAGGGGCAACUGGAAUUCUCGGUGUAGCGGUGAAAUGCGUAGAUAUCGAGAGGAACACCUGCGGCGAAGGCGGGUUGCUGGGCUGAUACUGACGCUGAGGCGUGAAAGCCAGGGGAGCGAACGGG